ensembl:lncRNA
CUGAUAUAGAACACAGGUAUGAUAUAGAACACAUGUAUGAUAUAGAACACAGGUAUGGCCCUGAUAUAGAACACAGGUAUGAUCUAGAACACAGGUAUGAUAUAGAACACAGGUAUGGCCCUGAUAUAGAACACAGGUAUGAUAUAGAACACAGGUAUGAUAUAGAACACAGGUAUGGCCCUGAUAUAGAACACAGGUAUGAUAUAGAACACAGGUAUGGCACUAAUAUAGAACACAGGUAUGGCCCUGAUAUAGAACACAGGUAUGAUAUAGAACACAGGUAUGAUAUAGAACACAGGUAUGAUAUAGAACACAGGUAUGGCUCUGAUCAAGAACACAGGUAUGAUAUAGAACACAGGUAUGAUAUAGAACACAGGUAUGAUAUAGAACACAUGUAUGAUAUAGAACACAGGUAUGGCCCUGAUAUAGAACACAGGUAUGAUAUAGAACACAUGUAUGAUAUAGAACACAGGUAUCUGAAGGACUAGAAGGAAAGGAAAGAAGAGACUGGUCUCUACACACAC